GGACAGAUGGGAGCUUGCUCCCUGAUGUUAGCGGCGGACGGGUGAGUAACACGUGGGUAACCUGCCUGUAAGACUGGGAUAACUCCGGGAAACCGGGGCUAAUACCGGAUGCUUGAUUGAACCGCAUGGUUCAAUUAUAAAAGGUGGCUUUUAGCUACCACUUACAGAUGGACCCGCGGCGCAUUACCUAGUUGGUGAGGUAACGGCUCACCAAGGCAACAAUGCGUAGCCAACCUGAAAGGGUGAUCGGCCACACUGGGACUGAAACACGGCCCAAACUCCUACGGGAGGCAGCAGUAGGGAAUCUUCCGCAAUGGACAAAAGUCUGACGGAGCAACGCCGCGUGAGUGAUGAAGGUUUUCGGAUC
rnacentral:rRNA from 1 species